CAAAGGGAUUACCGGUGGCGGAUGGGCAUGCGGCGCAUUAGCUAGUCGGCGGGGUAACGCCCCACCGAGGCGACGAUGCGUAGGGGUUCUGAGAGGAAGGUCCCCCACACUGGUACUGAGACACGGACCAGACUCCUACGGGAGGCAGCAGUGAGGAAUAUUGGUCAAUGGGCGCGAGCCUGAACCAGCCAAGUCGCGUGAGGGAUGACGGUCCUACGGAUUGUAAACCUCUUUUGCCGGGGAGCAAGCGUGCGUUCGUGAACGCGCGUCGAGAGUACCCGGAGAAAAAGCAUCGGCUAACUCCGUGCCAGCAGCCGCGGUAAUACGGAGGAUGCGAGCGUUAUCCGGAUUUAUUGGGUUUAAAGGGUGCGUAGGCGGGAUGCCAAGUCAGCGGUAAAAAUGCGGUGCUCAACGCCGUCGAGCCGUUGAAACUGGCGUUCUUGAGUGGGCGAGAAGUAUGCGGAAUGCGUGGUGUAGCGGUGAAAUGCAUAGAUAUCACGCAGAACUCCGAUUGCGAAGGCAGCAUACCGGCGCCCUACUGACGCUGAGGCACGAAAGCGUGGGUAUCGAACAGGAUUAGAUACCCUGGUAGUCCA
rnacentral:rRNA from 1 species